UUGCACGGUGCUAACCCUGGGCUUGUCGGAUUCAAAUCCCCUGAAGAAGGAAGCCCCAAUGCCUGUGCCAGAUCCAACCGUGCCCUUCAGUGUUGCAGGUCAUGAUGCUUCGAGCUUGUGAUUGAUCUGUGUCAACGUAAUGGAUACAUUU
rnacentral:snoRNA from 1 species